CCUACGGGAGGCAGCAGUGGGGAAUUUUGGACAAUGGGGGCAACCCUGAUCCAGCCAUUCCGCGUGAGUGAAGAAGGCCUUCGGGUUGUAAAGCUCUUUCGCAAGGGAAGAAAACUUAUGAUCGAAUAAAUCAUGAGGUUGACGGUACCUUGAUAAGAAGCACCGGCUAACUACGUGCCAGCAGCCGCGGUAAUACGUAGGGUGCGAGCGUUAAUCGGAAUUACUGGGCGUAAAGCGUGCGCAGGCGGUUUUGUAAGUCGGAUGUGAAAUCCCCGGGCUCAACCUGGGAACUGCGUUCGAAACUGCAAGGCUAAAGUGUGUCAGAGGGGGGUAGAAUUCCACGUGUAGCAGUGAAAUGCGUAGAGAUGUGGAGGAAUACCAAUGGCGAAGGCAGCCCCCUGGGAUAACACUGACGCUCAUGCACGAAAGCGUGGGGAGCAAACAGGAUUAGAUACCCUGGCAGUCCACGCCCUAAACGAUGUCAACUAGUUGUUGGUAGAGUAAAAUCUAUGAGUAACGUAGCUAACGCGUGAAGUUGACCGCCUGGGGAGUACGGUCGCAAGAUUAAAACUCAAAAGUGAAGUAGACGGCGUGAGACGUAGACCGAACGGACGACGACGAGGGAGGAGG
rnacentral:rRNA from 1 species